rnacentral:rRNA from 1 species
CUGGCUGUUGCCUAACAAUGCAAGUCGUACGAGAGUUUUUAACUCUAGUGGCGGACGGGUGAGUAACACGUGAGAAUUUGCCUUUAGGAGGGGGACAACAAUUGGAAACGAAUGCUAAUACCCCAUAUGCUUUCGAGUGAAAUGGAUUUAUAUUUAUCCGCCUAGAGAGAAGCUCGCGGCUGAUUAGCUUGUUGGUAAGGUAAGAGCUUACCAAGGCGACGAUCAGUAUCUGGUUUGAGAGGACGAUCAGACACACUGGAACUGAGACACGGUCCAGACUCCUACGGGAGGCAGCAGUGGGGAAUUUUCCGCAAUGGGCGAAAGCCUGACGGAGCAAUACAGCGUGAGGGAAGACUGCCUAUGGGUUGUAAACCUCUUUUUUCAGGGAGGAAUAAAUGACGUGUACCUGAAGAAUAAGCAUCGGCUAACUCCGUGCCAGCAGCCGCGGUAAGACGGAGGAUGCAAGUGUUAUCCGGAAUCACUGGGCGUAAAGCGUCUGUAGGUGGUUUAAUAAGUCAACUGUUAAAUCUUGAGGCUCAACUUCAAAAUCGCAGUCGAAACUAUUAGACUAGAGNUAUAUAGAGGUAAAGGGAAUUUCCAGUGGAGCGGUGAAAU